rnacentral:rRNA from 1 species
UACAAUGGAGAGUUUGAUCCUGGCUCAGGAUGAACGCUAGCGGGAGGCCUAACACAUGCAAGCCGAGCGGUAGAUUGCUUUCGGGCAAUUGAGAGCGGCGUACGGGUGCGGAACACGUGUGCAACCUGCCUUUAUCUGGGGGAUAGCCUUUCGAAAGGAAGAUUAAUACCUCAUAAUAUAAGAGACGGCAUCGUUUUUUAUUGAAAACUCCGGUGGAUAGAGAUGGGCACGCGCAAGAUUAGAUAGUUGGUGAGGUAACGGCUCACCAAGUCGACGAUCUUUAGGGGGCCUGAGAGGGUGAUCCCCCACACUGGUACUGAGACACGGACCAGACUCCUACGGGAGGCAGCAGUGAGGAAUAUUGGACAAUGGGUGAAAGCCUGAUCCAGCCAUCCCGCGUGAAGGACGACGGCCCUAUGGGUUGUAAACUUCUUUUGUAUAGGGAUAAACCUUUCCACGUGUGGAAAGCUGAAGGUACUAUACGAAUAAGCACCGGCUAACUCCGUGCCAGCAGCCGCGGUAAUACGGAGGGUGCAAGCGUUAUCCGGAUUUAUUGGGUUUAAAGGGUCCGUAGGCUGAUUUGUAAGUCAGUGGUGAAAUCUCACAGCUUAACUGUGAAACUGCCAUUGAUACUGCAAGUCUUGAGUGUUGUUGAAGUAGCUGGAAUAAGUAGUGUAGCGGUGAAAUGCAUAGAUAUUACUUAGAACACCAAUUGCGAAGGCAGGUUACUAAGCAACAACUGACGCUGAUGGACGAAAGCGUGGGGAGCGAACAGGAUUAGAUACCCUGGUAGUCCACGCCGUAAACGAUGCUAACUCGUUUUUGGGAUGUAAGUUUCAGAGACUAAGCGAAAGUGAUAAGUUAGCCACCUGGGGAGUACGAACGCAAGUUUGAAACUCAAAGGAAUUGACGGGGGCCCGCACAAGCGGUGGAUUAUGUGGUUUAAUUCGAUGAUACGCGAGGAACCUUACCAAGGCUUAAAUGGGAAAUGACAGGCUUAGAAAUAGGCUUUUCUUCGGACAUUUUUCAAGGUGCUGCAUGGUUGUCGUCAGCUCGUGCCGUGAGGUGUUAGGUUAAGUCCUGCAACGAGCGCAACCCCUGUCACUAGUUGCCAUCAUUAAGUUGGGGACUCUAGUGAGACUGCCUACGCAAGUAGAGAGGAAGGUGGGGAUGACGUCAAAUCAUCACGGCCCUUACGCCUUGGGCCACACACGUAAUACAAUGGCCGGUACAGAGGGCAGCUACACAGCGAUGUGAUGCAAAUCUCGAAAGCCGGUCUCAGUUCGGAUUGGAGUCUGCAACUCGACUCUAUGAAGCUGGAAUCGCUAGUAAUCGCGCAUCAGCCAUGGCGCGGUGAAUACGUUCCCGGGCCUUGUACACACCGCCCGUCAAGCCAUGGAAGUCUGGGGUACCUGAAGUCGGUGACCGUAAAAGGAGCUGCCUAGGGUAAAACAGGUAACUAGGGCUAAGUCGUAACAAGGUAGCCGUACCGGAAGGUGCGGCUGGAACAUCUCAUUUUAGAG